rnacentral:rRNA from 1 species
GACGAACGCUGGCGGCGUGCUUAACACAUGCAAGUCGAACGGAAAGGCCCUGCUUUUGUGGGGUGCUCGAGUGGCGAACGGGUGAGUAACACGUGAGUAACCUGCCCUUGACUUUGGGAUAACUUCAGGAAACUGGGGCUAAUACCGGAUAGGAGCUCCUGCUGCAUGGUGGGGGUUGGAAAGUUUCGGCGGUUGGGGAUGGACUCGCGGCUUAUCAGCUUGUUGGUGGGGUAGUGGCUUACCAAGGCUUUGACGGGUAGCCGGCCUGAGAGGGUGACCGGCCACAUUGGGACUGAGAUACGGCCCAGACUCCUACGGGAGGCAGCAGUGGGGAAUAUUGCACAAUGGGCGGAAGCCUGAUGCAGCAACGCCGCGUGCGGGAUGACGGCCUUCGGGUUGUAAACCGCUUUCGCCUGUGACGAAGCGUGAGUGACGGUAAUGGGUAAAGAAGCACCGGCUAACUACGUGCCAGCAGCCGCGGUGAUACGUAGGGUGCGAGCGUUGUCCGGAUUUAUUGGGCGUAAAGGGCUCGUAGGUGGUUGAUCGCGUCGGAAGUGUAAUCUUGGGGCUUAACCCCUGAGCGUGCUUUCGAUACGGGUUGACUUGAGGAAGGUAGGGGAGAAUGGAAUUCCUGGUGGAGCGGUGGAAUGCGCAGAUAUCAGGAGGAACACCAGUGGCGAAGGCGGUUCUCUGGGCCUUUCCUGACGCUGAGGAGCGAAAGCGUGGGGAGCGAACAGGCUUAGAUACCCUGGUAGUCCACGCUGUAAACGGUGGGUACUAGGUGUGGGGUCCAUUCCACGGGUUCCGUGCCGUAGCUAACGCUUUAAGUACCCCGCCUGGGGAGUACGGCCGCAAGGCUAAAACUCAAAGGAAUUGACGGGGCCCCGCACAAGCGGCGGAGCAUGCGGAUUAAUUCGAUGCAACGCGUAGAACCUUACCUGGGUUUGACAUGGAUCGGGAGUGCUCAGAGAUGGGUGUGCCUCUUUUGGGGUCGGUUCACAGGUGGUGCAUGGCUGUCGUCAGCUCGUGUCGUGAGAUGUUGGGUUAAGUCCCGCAACGAGCGCAACCCUUGUUCACUGUUGCCAGCACGUUAUGGUGGGGACUCAGUGGAGACCGCCGGGGUCAACUCGGAGGAAGGUGGGGAUGACGUCAAGUCAUCAUGCCCCUUAUGUCCAGGGCUUCACGCAUGCUACAAUGGCUGGUACAGAGAGUGGCGAGCCUGUGAGGGUGAGCGAAUCUCGGAAAGCCGGUCUCAGUUCGGAUUGGGGUCUGCAACUCGACCUCAUGAAGUCGGAGUCGCUAGUAAUCGCAGAUCAGCAACGCUGCGGUGAAAUACGUUCCCGGGGCU